GGGACACGUGGUAUCCUGUCUGAAUAUGGGGGGACCAUCCUCCAAGGCUAAAUACUCCUGACUGACCGAUAGUGAACCAGUACCGUGAGGGAAAGGCGAAAAGAACCCCGGCGAGGGGAGUGAAAAAGAACCUGAAACCGUGUACGUACAAGCAGUGGGAGCCUCUUAAUGGGGUGACUGCGUACCUUUUGUAUAAUGGGUCAGCGACUUAUAUUCUGUAGCAAGGUUAACCGAAUAGGGGAGCCGAAGGGAAACCGAGUCUUAACUGGGCGUUAAGUUGCAGGGUAUAGACCCGAAACCCGGUGAUCUAGCCAUGGGCAGGUUGAAGGUUGGGUAACACUAACUGGAGGACCGAACCGACUAAUGUUGAAAAAUUAGCGGAUGACUUGUGGCUGGGGGUGAAAGGCCAAUCAAACCGGGAGAUAGCUGGUUCUCCCCGAAAGCUAUUUAGGUAGCGCCUCGUGAAUUCAUCUCCGGGGGUAGAGCACUGUUUCGGCAAGGGGGUCAUCCCGACUUACCAACCCGAUGCAAACUGCGAAUACCGGAGAAUGUUAUCACGGGAGACACACGGCGGGUGCUAACGUCCGUCGUGAAGAGGGAAACAACCCA
rnacentral:rRNA from 1 species